rnacentral:misc_RNA from 1 species
AGUCAUCACAAGUGCCUUCAAAGAAACAAGCGGGUAGCAAAAGAUUCAGCACUGUACAUUGCACAAAAUCAGUACUUGGAGAGCUCCAUGAACUUAAAACAUUUAUGAAACGAGUAGUGUAAUCCUACAGAUUGAUUAAACUUAGAUGAAGCAUUCAACCAGUAGCAACCCUGCUGGAAAUAGAAUAUACUUUCUUUUAACUCAACACGUAUUGUGAACAUGUACUCAUCAAACCCAAAGUUGGUGAAUAGCAUAUGAGGACGUAUUAUGAACUCCUCGAGUUGGCGUAGUCCUUUGGCUCAUCAUUGUCGUCGCUGCUGCUCCUUUCUACACCUGGUGUGAAAUCAUUGUCUACAGAUUCAGUCCCUUGGUCUGCACUAAGCUGUUCUUCACCACCAUUGUGCGAGGUCCCAGGGCUCCCACCAAAUUCAGAGUUGUCCAAGAAGUCAUUACUAGCGGAAACACCAGCGUUGUAACUUCCACUACUCCCACCACCAUAUCCAGCCCCAAAACUAUCCCCACCAUAGCUGCCACCACCUGCAGGGUAACUGUUGUUGCUACCAUAGUUACCACCACCUCCAUAAUUCCCAUAUGAGUAACCUCCAGCUCCCCCACCAUAGCUAAAUCCACCUCCACCACCAGAACCACGCCCGAAUCCUCCAGGACGCUUUUCUGUGGCAUAAUUCACCCUUAUCCGUCUCCCGUGGAGAUCCUGGCCAUCCAAGGCACUCAGGGCACUUGAUGCUUCUUCAGCAGAUGUAUAAGUAACAAAACCAAACCCUCUGGAUCUCCCACUGUCACGAUCAAAAAUAACUCUAGCUUCAAUCACUUGACCAUGUUGGGAGAAUGCCUCUCGCAGAGAGGUCUCAUCAGUGCCAUAUGAGAGACCUCCAACAAAAAGCUUUGAAGAAGACAUGCUUCUUAUAGCCUGGUAAAGUGAGGUUCUAGUGGCACACAAUUCCAAAUUUGUGUGUCUGCUUACACUCUGUUUAAGCAUAUUUCCAAUUCUAUUGAAUAAAGCCAUCUUUAAAACCUUCGAAGAUUUUUUUUAUUUAUUUUUUCUUAUACCCAG